rnacentral:rRNA from 1 species
CAACUCGCACCAAGCCCCCUGGCCCCCGAUUCCUUCGGAACCGCGGGAGCCUUGCGACUGAGUGGCGGACGGGUGAGUAAACGCGCGGCAACCUGCCUUGCAUGGGGGGAUAACAGCCAGAAAUGGCUGCUAAUACCCCCUAAGACCGAAGCCCCGCAUGGCGCGGCGGCAAAGCCCCGGCGGUGCAAGAUGGGCCCGUGUAUGAUUAGGUAGUUGGCGGGGUAACGGCCCACCAAGCCGACGAUCAGUAGCCGACCUGAGAGGGUGACCGGCCACAUUGGGACUGAGACACGGCCCAGACUCCUACGGGAGGCAGCAGUGGGGAAUAUUGCACAAUGGGGGAAACCCUGAUGCAGCGACGCCGCGUGAAGGAUGAAGUAUUUCGGUAUGUAAACUUCUAUCAGCAGGGAAGAAGAUGACGGUACCUGACUAAGAAGCCCCGGCUAACUACGUGCCAGCAGCCGCGGUAAUACGUAGGGGGCAAGCGUUAUCCGGAUUUACUGGGUGUAAAGGGAGCGUAGACGGCGAUGCAAGCCAGAUGUGAAAGCCCGGGGCUCAACCCCGGGACUGCAUUUGGAACUGCGUGGCUGGAGUGUCGGAGAGGCAGGCGGAAUUCCUAGUGUAGCGGUGAAAUGCGUAGAUAUUAGGAGGAACACCAGUGGCGAAGGCGGCCUGCUGGACGAUGACUGACGUUGAGGCUCGAAAGCGUGGGGAGCAAACAGGAUUA